ACUGAAUGCAGUGUGAAUCCUUCUCAUCAGUGAAACAGAAAGAAUUGUGUGACGAGACAUCAGUGGCUGUGACUGAAUGCAGUGUGAAUCCUUCCUCAUCAGUGAAACAGAAAGAAUUGUGUGACGAGACAUCAGUGGCUGUGACUGAAUGCAGUGUGAAUCCUUCCUCAUCAGUGAAACAGAAAG